CCAGCUAUCAACGAGAGUGGAAGUGCGCAUUUUGUACCGCGAGUUUUUGGCUUUUUGUACAAAAUUUUCCCGUUAGUUUGUCGUGUGUGCGCUAGUGCUAAAAUUUGUGUUAUUUGUGUGCGAACAGGAGAAAAGCAUUCGCUCGUUAGCAACAGCGCUAACCAUCCCGCAGCAGCACCAGCCCAGCAGCAGCGCGAACACACGAGCAGCAGAGCAGAGGAAAACGGAGACGAAGUUCCCCGCGCACCGUACUUCUCGUUGUCGCCGCACGUCACCAGGCGAAGCACGAGGACGAAGGAGCG